rnacentral:rRNA from 1 species
ACUGACACGCUGUCCUUUCCCUAUUAACACUAAAGGACACUAGAAGAGACCUUUUCGAUUUAAGGCUGUUUUGCUUGUCCAGCCUAUUCUUUUUACUGGCUUGGGUCUGUCGCGGUGCCUGAAGCUGUCCCCGAGCCACGCUUCCUGCUUUCCCGGGCUUGCUGCUUGCGUGCGCUUGCUGUGGGCAGCUUGUGACAACUGGGCGCUGUGACUUUGCUGCGUGUCAGACGUUUUUCCCGAUUUCCCCGAGGUGUUGUCACACCUGUCCCGGUUGGAAUGGUGGAGCCAGCUGUGGUUGAGGGCCACCUUAUUUCGGCUCACUUUUUUUUUUUUUUUUUUCCUCUUGGAGUCCCGAACCUCCGCUCUUUUCUCUUCCCGGUCUUUCUUCCAUAUGCCUCCCGAGUGCAUUUCUUUUUGUUUUGUUUUGUUUUUUUUUUUUGGGGGGGGAGGUGGAGAGUCCCGAGUACUUCACUCCUGUCUGCGGUGUCCAAGUGUUCAUGCCACGUGCCUCCCGAGUGCACUUUUUUUUGUGGCAGUCGCUCGUUGUGUUCUCUUGUUCUGUGUCUGCCCGUAUCCGUAACUGUCUUGCCCCGCGUGUAAGACAUUCCUAUCUCGCUUGUUUCUCCCGAUUGCGCGUCGUUGCUCACUCUUAGAUCGA